rnacentral:misc_RNA from 1 species
UGCAGCAUGGAGUCUGUCGCCAUUUGUAAAUAUAACCUUCCGAAUCGGGAGGCUCAACAAGAGAUGUCUCAAAACAGGAUCCGGCUUCAGCCAGUCAUAAGGCAAUCGCCCGUGCACAAAACUGUGAUAAUCAUCAUAGUCGAAUGCGUAGCCGAUAGCCCUUAGACCGGCCAUUGUCGUCCCAUAAUACCUGUACAACAGACCACACAAUUCCGA